GUAUGCGCUGAUUGAUGCCACCUGCAAUCUGCCUGAGUUCCUUGAAUGACUCGUGCAGGCGGCUUCCGGGAAACCAAAGUUUUUCGGUUCCGGGGGAAGUAUGGUUGCAAAGCUGAAACUUAAAGGAAUUGGCGGAAGGGCACCACCAGGAGUGGAGCCUGCGGCUUAAUUUGACUCAACACGGGGAAACUUACCCGGCCUGGACACUGGAAGGAUUGACAGAUUGAGAGCUCUUUCUUGAUUCAGUGGGUGGUGGUGCAUGGCCGUUCUUAGUUGGUGGAGCGAUUUGUCUGGUUAAUUCCGAUAACGAACGAGACUCUAGCCUAUUAAAUAGGCUCCCGGCUUUUAAACGCCGGGAGGACUUCUUAGAGGGACAGGUGGCGGUUCAGCCGCACGAAAGAGAGCAAUAACAGGUCUGUGAUGCCCUUUGUUGUCCGGGGCCGCACGCGCGCUACACUGAAGAGAUCAGCGUGCUUUAUGUUCCUGCUCCGACCGGAGUGGGGAACCCAGUGAACCUUCUUCGUGAUUGGGAUAGAAGAUUGUAAUUAUUCUUCUUGAACGAGGAAUUCCCAGUAAAUGCGAGUCAUAAGCUCGCGUUGAUUACGUCCCUGCCCUUUGUACACACCGCCCGUCGCUACUACCGAUUGAACGAUUUAGUGAGGUCUUCGGACUGACCGACGCAGCCAUCUUCGGGUGGCCGCGUUGUGUUGGAAAGAUGCCCAAACUUGAUCGUUUAGAGGAAGUAAAAGUCGUAACAAGGUUUUCGUAGUGAACCUGCGGAAGGAUC
rnacentral:rRNA from 1 species